AUGAUAGUAAAAUUGAUUGAUGGCCGUUGGGAGGUCACUUAUUUUAUUGCUGGGCAUAACCAUCCAUUGAUUGAGAAAACUUCAUUGACUAAAUAUUUGCGAUCGCACCAAGGCAUACCCCCAGAAGAGAAGUUGUUCCUGAAAAACCUUCAUAAUUGCAACUUAACUACAGGCCGAAUGAUGAUGCACAUCAUGUCAGAUUACUAUGGCACAGAGUUGAUUGUUCCUUAUAUUGACAAGCACAUCACGAACCUGAAGUCAAGCUUGAACAGGGAUGCAACUAAAGAAGGCGAUAUGAUUGAGAUGGUUGCCUACUUCAAAGAUAUGCAG
rnacentral:rRNA from 1 species